rnacentral:lncRNA from 1 species
ACCGGAGCCGCGAACCCACGAUGACCACAGCACUCACCGUUCUCUUUCCUCAGCCUUGAAAUGAACUUCUUUGGUGGGAUGACGCCAACUUUCUUCUUCUGCGUGGCAAUGCUGUGGAAAAGGUCUGCCAGGCAUGUCAGCAGGUUUUCCUUCUUUUUUUGCUGGGCCUUGUAUGCCAACACAUUCUCCCGGAACGGCCGGCAGAAGUACAGCGCUUGAAGCACGGAGUUACAGUAGCAUGUGUUUCCAAACUGCCAAAGCACAAGAGGAGCGGCUGCAAUCAUCACCUGCGAGUAAGCCACCUCUGGACAGCCCGGAACCAGCCAAUCCCUGUGUUCCCAUAUCGGAGCCCAACAUGUCGAAUUAGAAAAGACAUGGCCAUGAAGCAGACUGGGAACCAGUCAAAGUGGUCACUUGCCCCAAAGCAUACAGUAAGUAGAAGAUAACUGGAUUUCAAGCGUCCAGAACAGCAGUAUGGCAGGCUCCCCUCACCCCCUAGGUUUCUGUGUGAUGUCUCGCUCUCUCUCUGCUCUGCCAACAUUCUACACUCAUUUAUCCACCAUCUGAGAGAAGACCCAAGGCUCAGAUGGGAGGCAGCUUCAGAACCCUUUCUUCAGAGUUGUGAAAACCAUUGUCUCCACAGCUUUACCACAGCCGACCUUUUGAAAUAACGGAUCAAAUUAUAGCAGGAUCUCAUGGAACAGAUGAAGAACACCAACAUUUCUUAACAAAGUUGUUUCUAAAUAAUAAACUAAUGU